UGCCAAAUAAUAAGUUGAGAAUUAAGUAGGCUGGAUCAAUUUUUGUGGACACACUUCCAGAUCGAAGUGGACUGACCUAAUAAUCACCAUUGUCACAAAAAGCCCAUCGCAGUUGUUCUUGUUCUUCGGAGACACUGAGCUCAGAGGGAGAGAGAGAAACAACAAUCCAAUGAAUCAACCUGUUCAGAAGAACACUCUGUACGUAGGGGGUUUGGCGGAGGAGGUGAAUGAAUCGAUACUUCACGCUGCGUUCAUACCGUUCGGGGACAUAAAAGAUGUGAAGACGCCAUUAGAUCAGGCGACUCAGAAGCACAGGUCAUUCGGAUUCGUGACGUUUCUGGAGAAAGAAGACGCCUCCGCCGCCAUGGACGGUCCGUGUCCUCACCGUCAACUAUGCCCUCCCUGAGCGCAUCAAGGGUGGUGAACAGGGUUGGGCCGCUCAGCCAAAUUAGGGGAAAUGAAAAAAGAUGGGGCAAAACUUUGGAAGGGCACUUGCUUUAACCUUUGAAAGGGCAUGAAUAGCUCAGAAUUAGAAGAUUCCGAACUCCAACACUUUUCUGGCUGGUUCCAAGACUAAAGAAAGGGUAAAAAUGGAACAAUUCUUCUCCUUUCUUUGAAAUUGACUCACAUACUGUUUGAUUAUCAUUUUCAGACUACUUUUUGGCUUUCAAAGCUCAAACUGUUGCAAAUUUAAUUUUCUUGAGCAAGAACACCAAAAAGAAUGUUAAGGAAAGCAUGUGUGAGUUAGUAGCCUCAUUUCGCAUUCAGUAUAAACUGGAUCUGCUUCCACCUUAUAUGGUAGUAUUGAAUGGGUUAGAAGUUUCAUUUAUUAACGAAAGUAAGUAUGAUUUCCGUACAACACACAAACCAUGUGUAAAGUCCUUUAAUGGUCUCAGAAUGCAAGUUAUUGAAAACCUUUGAAGGCAUAAAAUAUUUGUCUCAACAUGCUUAUUUGUGCAUUGUGAAGCAUGGAUGCAUUGAAUAUGGAAAUUUUCUAACAAUGUGAGCUACAGAUACAUUGAGGAUAAAUGGUAUAAAAAAGUAAUUAUGUCAAAACAUAUUUGUAACACACUAUGUCAUUAGUUUUCUAUAAAAUGUUUGCACUUUCAAAUUUGUAAUGUAUGCACAUAAAAUAAAUAAAGAUUAGGGUUUUUGUUAUGUGGACACGAAUUUAGCCCAAAUUUGACAUGCUUUAACCACACUAUUUCUCAAAUUUUCUCAUGCAAGGAGUAUGCAAAAAUAUUGAAAACUAUCCUUGCAUUAUUCUAAAAAUAGUUCUAAUUUUACAUAAAAAAUGUCACGUCUUAAUUUCAAGAUAGUUCGGUAUCUUAAGAGUUCCCAAAAUAUCUGAUACUUAUUCAAAAUUAAAGAAAAUUAAUUUAUAAUUGUGGAUAAGUUUAGAAAGUAUUUGAUAAAUAUUGGAGGAGUGUCGGUACCCGGUAUGAUACGGAUAUGACUCCCUUGUAUAAGUAUUCACACUUUGUAAUUGGUGCACGUUUUGUUCAGAUACAUGACUUUCAAAGCGAAUAGAAUGUUAUGAACAAAACACCUUGCCUAAGUGGCCCUGUCGAUAAUAAGCCCUUGCCUUGGCCAUUUACUAGUUCGAUGAACCCUUGGGAUCAGAACUUGUUUCAAUUCCAGUCCAUGACUGAAGUACUCCAACCCAAUCUUAAGUUUGUUUUUUAUCCGAUACUUAUUCAAAAUUAAAGAAAAUUAAUUUAUAAUUGUGGAUAAGUUUAGAAAGUAUUUGAUAAAUAUUGGAGUGUCGGUACCCGGUAUGAUACGGAUAUGACUCCCUUGUAUAAGUAUUCGCACUUUGUAAUUGGUGCACGCUUUGUUCAGAUACAUGACUUUCAAAGCGAAUAGAAUGUUAUGAACAAAACACCUUGCCUAAGUGGCCCUGUCGAUAAUAAGCCCUUGCCUUGGCCAUUUACUAGUUCGAUGAACCCUUGGGAUCAAAACUUGUUUCAAUUCCAGUCCAUGACUGAAGUACUCAAACCCAAUCUUAAGUAUGUUUUUUAUCCGAUACUUAUUCAAAAUUAAAGAAAAUUAAUUUAUAAUUGUGGAUAAGUUUAGAAAGUAUUUGAUAAAUAUUGGAGGAGUGUCGGUACCCGGUAUGAUACGGAUAUGACUCCCUUGUAUAAGUAUUCACGCUUCAUAAUUGGUGCACGUUUUGUUCAGAUACAUGACUUUCAAAGCGAAUAGAAUGUUAUGAACAAAACACCUUGCCUAAGUGGCCCUGUCGAUAAUAAGCCCUUGCCUUGGCCAUUUACUAGUUCGAUGAACCCUUGGGAUCAAAACUUGUUUCAAUUCCAGUCCAUGACUGAAGUACUCAAACCCAAUCUUAAGUAUGUUUUUUAUCCGAUACUUAUUCAAAAUUAAAGAAAAUUAAUUUAUAAUUGUGGAUAAGUUUAGAAAGUAUUUGAUAAAUAUUGGAGGAGUGUCGGUACCCGGUAUGAUACGGAUAUGACUCCCUUGUAUAAGUAUUCACGCUUCAUAAUUGGUGCACGUUUUGUUCAGAUACAUGACUUUCAAAGCGAAUAGAAUGUUAUGAACAAAACAUCUUGUCUAAGUGGCCCUGUCAAUAAUAAGCCCUUCUCUUGGCCAUUUACUAGUUGGAUGAAGCCUUGGGAUCGGAACUUGUUUCAAUUCCGGUCCAUGACUACAGUACUCAAACCCAAUCUUAAGUAUGUUUUUUAUGCAGUGUAGCUCGCUUCUCAGCAUGCUUUGGUGCAUGUUGAAAAAAGAAUAGCUUUCUUGUGGCGCGGAAAGCUAAUGUCCAAAACAAAUACGUUAAUGUCCACAAGAAAGAAAGAAAAAAUUUGGAAACAAGAUCAUCUACUCAUUUUUCCGUCACGUGGUCAUAUCUGCAUAUAGCUGUGCUUCUACAGUUUAAUCUCAUGUACAGCAUUGCAUAUUUUUCCUCUAUUUGUC